rnacentral:lncRNA from 1 species
AAAAACAUUCUAUCAACUUCGAAAAAAGAAAAUAGCCACCGUUAAUCCCAAUUUUAAGCGACGGCCUGUCGCACGCACCGCUGCGUACCGCCGGUCACUGGUAUCAGUUCACCGCCAAAAUCCAGCCAACGACUCCUCUCUUCCUCAUCUUCCCAAAUCCAUCCUCCGUUUAGCCAAAGACCUUCGAUUCAUCCUAGAUCUGAGCUGAAAGCGGGUGGUUUCAAAACCCAAAACACCCCUCCUCCGUCACUAAAUGGCCUGGGCUUCUACUAUGUCGUUUUCCUUCCCCAGAUCUUCAUCUCCUACAAAUUUCAAGUCUUGGAGCUCCUUCAAGCCUCCCAAACACGAAAUCCAGUUGACUCUCCUCUUAUUUCGUUUUUUUUUUUGUUUGUGUUUUGUGUUCUCUCCUUUUCUGUGUGUACAUAUGACUGCUGCUUCCUCUAAAAGGAAUGAGGUUUUUUUUAUCUUGAUUUUUUUUACAGGUUGACAGACAGGCAUUAGGUGGAUUUUUUUGGGUGAUGAAGUUGAUGGAUUGUUGCUGGGUUUUCGAUAUGGGGUAACAGGAUGGUGAUGGAGAGACUGGGAUUUUGGCUGGUCGGGGUUCGGUGAUAGUGGGUGAAGGCCGGCUUUGGGGCUUGUGAAGGC